CUUUUACGGUGAGAUACAAUUUUAAAACCAUUUAUUUAAUUCAAAAUAUUUAGUACAGACCUUUUAAAACAUGCUAUAAUUAAUGCUAAACAUUUUUACUAUUCCUUUCUUACAGAAAAAUGGGAGGCUAUAGGGUUUUCCCUGACCCCCCGUCCGUGUCUAAUUCCCCCGUUAAAAGGUGAGACACAAUUUUAAAACCCUUUAUUUAAUUCUAAAUCUUUAGUACAGACCUUUUAAAACAUGCUAUAAUUAAUUAAACAAUUUUACUAUUCCUUUCUUACAGAUAAAGGGCCCAGCUAUAGGUUUUGACACCCGUCCGUUUCCAAUUCCCCGUCGUCAAGACAGGCUCUCUUGCACGCUCCAGCAUGGUUCCUAUCUGGCCACUGGAGGGCUGGCAAUGGAAGUUCAGAGGAAACCCAACAAACUCAAUAUUUCAAGUUCUUACCCUAGACCUUAUUGGAGAAGCUGACACUAUAUCACGGAACAAUGACGAACUGGACUACAGGAAAAGGCGGGCCAAACAGGCCCCCAUUAACAUCGACGGGGCUGUAGUGGAGCAGG